rnacentral:rRNA from 1 species
GAACGGAGAGUUUGAUCCUGGCUCAGGAUGAACGCUGGCGGCGUGCAUAACCCAUGUAAGUCGCACG